CCUACGGGGCGCAGCAGUGGGGAAUAUUGGACAAUGGGCGAAAGCCUGAUCCAGCCAUGCCGCGUGUGUGAAGAAGGCCUUCGGGUUGUAAAGCACUUUCAGUGGGGAAGAAAGCCUUGGGGCUAAUACCCUCGAGGAAGGACAUCACCCACAGAAGAAGCACCGGCUAACUCCGUGCCAGCAGCCGCGGUAAUACGGAGGGUGCGAGCGUUAAUCGGAAUUACUGGGCGUAAAGCGCGCGUAGGCGGUCUGAUAAGCCGGUUGUGAAAGCCCCGGGCUCAACCUGGGAACGGCAUCCGGAACUGUCAGGCUAGAGUGCAGGAGAGGAAGGUAGAAUUCCCGGUGUAGCGGUGAAAUGCGUAGAGAUCGGGAGGAAUACCAGUGGCGAAGGCGGCCUUCUGGACUGACACUGACGCUGAGGUGCGAAAGCGUGGGUAGCAACAGGAUUAGAUACCCUGGUAGUC
rnacentral:rRNA from 1 species